rnacentral:piRNA from 1 species
UAGGCAUACCAGACACUCCAGGCUUGUCUU